rnacentral:sRNA from 1 species
CAAACCGUAACCAGAUCUUGAAAGCCCAAGUAGUGUUUCUUUGUUAGAAGAUACAAAGCCAAAUACUCAUACGGACUUCGGCUACACCAUCAAG